rnacentral:rRNA from 1 species
UACGUAGGUGGCAAGCGUUGUCCGGAUUUACUGGGCGUAAAGGGCGUGCAGGCGGUCUGUUAAGUGCAGGGUGAAAGCUCCCGGCUCAACUGGGAGAGGUCCUUGCAUACUGGCGGACUUGAGGGGGGUAGAGGAAAGUGGAAUUCCCGGUGUAGUGGUGAUAUGCGUAGAUAUCGGGAGGAACACCUGUGGCGAAGGCGGCUUUCUGGGCCCUACCUGACGCUGAGGCGCGAAAGCCAGGGGAGCAAACGGG